rnacentral:tRNA from 1 species
UAUUUUAAAGAAUAAUCUUCGUUAAUGUCUUCAGCAUCAUACUCUAUAUAAGCUAUUAAAAU